rnacentral:rRNA from 1 species
GACGAACGCUGGCGGCGUGCUUAACACAUGCAAGUCGAACGAAGUGGCGAACGGGUGAGUAAUACGUGGGUAACCUGCCCUCCUUUUUGGGAUAAGCCUUGGAAACGGGGUCUAAUACCGAAUAAAGGGGGAUGGGCUCGCGGCCUAUCAGCUGGGUGGUGGGGUGAUGGCCUACCAAGGCGGUGACGGGUAGCCGGCCUUGGAGGGUGACAGGCGACAUUGGGAAGGGAAUACGGCCCAGACUCCUACGGGAGGCGGCAGUGGGGGAUAUUGGACGAAGGGCGAAAGCCGGAAGCCGCGGUGCGGCGUGAGGGAUGAAGGCUUUCGGGUUGUAAUCGUCUGUCGCUAUCGAACGGGUAGGUGAAGAAGAAGCGCCGGCUAACUACGUGCCAGCAGCCGCGGUAAUAC